rnacentral:lncRNA from 1 species
GGAGUUCAACGAGAAGUCCAGCCUGCCGCUAAAGUUUUAAGAGUCAAUUUGAGGUACUUAGGCUUCGUAUUUCGGAUUUAUUUCUCCUGGGAAGUUAUAGAACAGACUAAAUAAUAUAGGAAUAUCGAUUUUUCCCCAAAUUUAUACCUCUGUACAAAGUUGAUUUUUAUCCGACAGUUGUGACAAUGAUUUCUGAAAUUUCUGCAAUUAAUAAACCUUAUGCCGAUCCUGUUUUCGGGGCAGAUUUUGGGGGUUUUGGGAUUUGAAUUUUAAAGCAGUUCCUUCUUAUAAAUCGUAGACAGUAUGGGGAAGUUUAAGGGUAAUGUGAAUCUUGCCUGGUUUGAUCGAGUUUUAAGGUUUGUUUGAAGAGGGGAAACAGGGUAGUUCCAUCUGCAAAUUCUGGCAGUUCAUAUGACUUAUAUUUCGAGACUGUUUCCUAUGCAUUCGAGUCAUAAUUUGAGGUCAGUGUCUUCUCUUCAGUUGUAGAUGAAGACUUUAUAUUCGAUUUGGUAUAUGUGACUUGUCAAAUUUGGAUAAUAUUUCGAAUUAUUAUGAAAUUUCAAAACAUACUGCCAAAAUGAUUUUUUGUCAAAUCCUGGCAGUUUCUGUUAUCAUUUUCUUGGGCUGGUUUAGCUAUGUUUCACUCAUAAUUUGAAAGUGGUGUCUUCAGUGAACUUGUAGAUUUUGUUGUUAGCUUUAAUUUGGUAUAUCAUUUGGUCUGUUUCGAUAUACGUGCAGUUUGUUAUGGUUUUUCAAAUAAGCUGUACCAGAAAUAAUAUUUCCAAAAUUCUGGCAGUUCUGUAAUGCUGGUUUGAGACUGUUUCUGCUAUUUUUGGUUUAGAAUUUGGGACUAAAGCCCUCUAUGAACUCGUAGGAUUUUCUGCUAGCUUUCAUUUGAGGUAUCAUGUGAUCAAUUUGGAUAAACGUGGAACCUGUUAUGAGUUUUCAAAUGAACUGUGGCAGCAUAUUAGUUUUAUUAUUAGGUUGAGAAACUCGUCUAAUAAAAUGAGUUUAUUCUAUGGGUUUGUGGCCCGGUUCGGUAAAUGAAAUAAUUAUGUGUUGAGCUUAGGUGUUGGGUUAUGGAAUUAAAUUAAAUUAGAAUUAAUAAGUUUUUCGGCCUUAAGGACAUAAAGAAAACUAGGAAAUGUCGUAUGUAUAUGAAUUCAUUUAUUAAGUAUUUGGAAACUUAUUAAGUGAUAAAUAUUUUUAUAG